UAUUGGUCAAUAGCCUAACUGGCUGAACCAGCAACUUGGAGGAAUGAACGGGGAAAACUGGUAAAAUGUGAUGUACCUGAUAGUAUUAGUUAUUAAUAUGAAAUUAACAAAGUUAAUUAAAAUUCUAUGUGGAUAUAUGAUUAUGACAAUAUUUGCUAUAUUUCUUGACCAAGUCACGUGCCAGCAGUCGCGGUAAUACGUGGUAGAUUAGUGUUAUUCAUCUUUAAUAGGUUUAAAGGGUACCUAGACGGUUAAUUAGACAUAAAAGUGUACUAAAAUUAACUAGAGUUUAAUGUAAGAAGGUUUGAGUACGGUGAGUGUAGAGAUAAAAUUCUGUCAUACCACUUAAGAAACUGGUAAAGGCGAAGGCAACCUUUUAUGUAAAAACUGACGUUAAGGGACGAAGGCUCGAUAAAAGAAAUAGGAUUAGAUACCCUAGUACUUUGGGCAGACAAUGAUGAGUGUCAUAUGCAAGAACAUUUUUUGUGUAUAAAUGAAAGUGUAAGCACUCCACCUCAAGAGUAACGUGGCAACAUCGGAACUGAAAUCAUUAGACCGUUUCUGAAACUCGUAGUGAAGUAUGUUGUUUAAUUUGAAGGUACACAAAGAACCUUACCACAAUUUGUAUAACUUGAAGCAAUGGUAUAGUAAAGUAUAUACUAAUUAUACUAUCCUUUAAGUAACAAGCGUUGCACGGCUGUUUUCAGUUAAUGUUGUGAAACUUUGGUUAGAUCCAUAAAAUUGACGUAAACCCUUGCUUUAUUUGUUAUAGAGCAGUUCGCCGCUAUAUUGGUAGUGAUAUAUGGGACCAGGACAAGUCAUCAUGACUCAAACAUUGUGGGCUAUAGAC
rnacentral:rRNA from 1 species